AUCGUUAGUUGCCAUCUGGUAAUGCAGGGGACUCUAGCGAAACUGCCACCGUAAGGUGAGAGGAAGUGGGGAUGACGGUCAAAUCAGCACGGCCCUUAUGUCCAGGGCUACACACGUGUUACAAUGGUCGGUACAGAGGGCAGCUACCUGGUGACAGGAUGCUAAUCUCGAAAACCGGUCUCAGUUCGGAUCGAAGUCUGCAACUCGACUUCGUGAAGCUGGAUUCGCUAGUAAUCGCGCAUCAGCUAUGGCGCGGUGAAUACGUUCCCGGGCCUU
rnacentral:rRNA from 1 species